rnacentral:rRNA from 1 species
AGAGUUUGAUCAUGGCUCAGAAUCAACGCUGGCGGCGUGCCUCAGACAUGCAAGUCGAACGAUUAAAGCCCUCUUCGGAGGGUGUAUAAAGUGGCGCACGGGUGAGUAACACGUAAGUAAUCUACCCUCGGGUGGGGAAUAACAACCGGAAACGGUUGCUAAUACCGCAUAAUGCAGCGGCUCCUUAUGGAGACAGUUGUUAAAGGAUUUAUUCGCCUGAGGAGGAGCUUGCGGCAAAUUAGCUAGUUGGUAAGGUAAUGGCUUACCAAGGCUACGAUCUGUAGCCGGUCUAAGAGGACGGUCGGUCACACUGACACUGAAUAACGGGUCAGACUCCUACGGGAGGCAGCAGUCGGGAAUUUUGGGCAAUGGGCGAAAGCCUGACCCAGCAACGCCGCGUGAAGGAUGAAGUAUUUCGGUAUGUAAACUUCGAAAGAAUAGGAAGAAUUAAUGACGGUACUAUUUAUAAGGUCCGGCUAACUACGUGCCAGCAGCCGCGGUAAUACGUAGGGACCAAGCGUUGUUCGGAUUUACUGGGCGUAAAGGGCGCGUAGGCGGCAUGACAAGUCACUUGUGAAAUCUCUGGGCUUAACUCAGAACGGCCAAGUGAUACUGUCGCGCUAGAGUGCAGAAAGGGCAAUCGGAAUUCUUGGUGUAGCGGUGGAAUGCGUAGAUAUCAAGAGGAACACCUGAGGCGAAGGCGGGUUGCUAGGCUGACACUGACGCUGAGGCGCGAAAG